rnacentral:tRNA from 1 species
GCCUUUGUAGUUCAAUGGAUAGAACGCGGGUUUCCUAAACCUGAAAUAUGGGUUCGAUUCCCAUCGAGGGUA